GCGGGAAUAGCUCAGUUGGUAGAGCACGACCUUGCCAAGGUCGGGGUCGCGAGAUCGAGUCUCGUUUCCCGCUCCA
rnacentral:tRNA from 3 species